CGAUGAAGGGAGUCAAGCCGAGGAAUCGCACCGUCAAGCCUGAUGACAAGCUGGGGGCUAAGCGGAAGGGCGCCGACAAGGUGAGCAGGCAGGUGAAGCGUGCCAAGGCUGGCAAGGACCCCAACGCGCCGAAGCGUCCUCCGACCGCGUUCUUCAUCUUCAUGGAUGAUUUCCGCAAGGAGUUCAAGGAGAAGAACCCGAACAACAAAUCUGUGGCCACUGUGAGCAAAGCUGGGGGUGACAAGUGGAAAUCGAUGUCUGAUGCUGAGAAGGCACCCUACCAGGCCAAAUCUGAGAAGCGGAAGACUGAGUACAACCUGAAGAUGGAUGCUUACAACAAGAAGCUGGAUGGAGAUGCUGAGGGUGAGGAGUCAGACAAGUCCAAGUCUGAGGUUCAUGAUGAGGAGGAUGAGGAAGGGAGUGGUGAGAAUGGUGGUGAUGAGGCUGAUGUGUAGAUAGCAGGAAGACCUUCAUGGCAACUCUUGGUGGAUGUUUUUGUCUUUGGUUUAUUUUCUGUCUAAAUGUGUUGGAACUAUAGCAAAUAGAGCUGCUUAGUAAAGCUUAGUGUUUUAUCUUUCUUUGGCUGAUGGAUCUUGCUGUACCUGGCUUUGCUUUUCUCUGCUUAAUGGAUAC
rnacentral:misc_RNA from 1 species